AGAGAGCAGAGUUGAAGCUCCUUGAUGCUUUGGGCUGAGCAAGAGGGUGGUAUGAAAAAAUCACCUCAAGUUGCUUUUUCUAAGAAGAUGCAUUGAGAGCUGUCCAUAUUUUUUGUUGCUUGAUAGUUUAAGAGAUUUUGUGCCCUGGUAGCUUUCUUGCCUUUUCUCUCUCUUUAAAGAGAUUUCUUAGCAAGGAAGUCAAAUGCAUAGUUUUGAGUGAACAUGUUAGAAAGAAUGUGAGUCACUUAAGUUGUGAAGAACAUGCAUGAAUGAAUUCUUUGGUGAUAAAGAUUAUGCUUGUCAGAAUCUACUGUGAUUUACGGUACCAGGUUAGAGAAUUUUCUGGAGCCAUUUUUGACUAGCCACUCCUUAUUAUAUUCAAGAAUCAGUUCUCUAUUGCUGCAUAACAAACUAUCUUAAAACUUAGUGGCUUAAACACCUACGGGAAUUUAUUUUGCUCAUGAAUCUGCAGGUUAGGUGGAGUUUGGCAGGGAGAGUUUGUUCCACAUAACUUUGGCUGAGGCAGAUCUGUAGGGGCUGGAGAAUCCCUCACAUGGCUAGUAUGUUAUUGCUAGCUGCUGUCUAGGAGCUAAGUGAGGGCUCGGGUUCGGAUACUUCAGGUCCUCUCUUAAUUAACUGCUUACACAUCCUCACGGUACGGUGUCUGAGUUCCAGGAGUGAAUAUCGUAGAAGACAGAAUAGAAACAAUUCUCAGUUUCUUUAGCAUUUCUGCCCUAUUCUACAGGUCAAGCAGGCACAGAGUCUAGAUUCCAGAGGAGGAGAUGGAGAAUCGUACUUAAAACUUUUUUUUUAAUUUUUAAAAAAUAUAUUUUUAUUGAUUUCAGAGAGGAAGGGAGAGGGAGAGAGAGCUAGAAACAUCAAUGAAGAAAGAAAAUUAUUUAUCUGGCUUCCACCUGCAUGUCCCCCAUGGGGGAUCGAGCCCGCAACCUGGGCAUGUGUUAUGAAUCAUGACUUCCUGGUUCAUAGGUUUACGCUCACACUGGCGAGGCGAGAAUUGUACUUUUUAAAAAAUUCAGGUAAAGUUCACAUAGUAUAAAUUCACAAUUUAAAUAAUUUCAAGCCUACAGUUCAGUGGCUUUUAGUACAUUUCACAGUGUUGAGAACCCUACUUUUGGAUGAGAGUAGUAUCAAAGAAUUUGGGCCCUUUUUUAAAACUAACAGAAUGGGAAAAGUAUUUUAACUCUGUGACUAAAUAGGAAUAUGGGACUUAGGAAAUCAGCAACUCCAUGCCACUCUCAGGGGUCAGAAUCUUAGUAAAUAUCUCUGGUAAGGCAUAGUCUUACUUCCUAGGUCCAGAAGAAACUCACUGGGUAGAAAACAUGGAGAUUUCAUGAUUUUUUUGAAUCACAGCCCGAAAUACCACCUGAAAAUAUCCUUGGGAAGCAUUAGAUUUUUCCUGUUCAAGAAACAGGUUCACAGAGAAAAGGAUCUUGUGUAGAACAUUGGUCUAAAUGUGAUGAUAGGUAUGACCUUGCUGUGCUUCAUUGUGUUCAGUUGCCCCCCAGGAUGCCCCAGCUCAGGAUGGUGCUCUGUGGCUUCAGGGCUGGCCACACAGGGGUAGGAGGAGUUCUUUUUGUUUUGUUACAGCUUAUUUUCAUCUUCCAAUGUAAUCACACAUUUUAACAGAGAUGAUCUGUUUCCAGGGUCCAAUGUGACCAUAUAAAAGAGAAUGGACUGUAACUUAGAAGAGGGGGAUUUGGUGAAGUUAAAAGGAUGAGCUUCCCAGUGAUGAGAUUUGGUAAAACACCAAAGCUAGUGUAACUUGAGUCAUGUUGGAGACCUUUCGUUUUUGACUUGACUUUGAUACUAAUCUAAUUGGAGUCAGAUGGAACAGGUAUUUCUUGGUUCCUUCUAGCCAGCAGUUGUUAAAAGAUCACUGAAUACUGGUAUGUGGGUUGUCUGCUUCAGAAUCAUUUUGAGUUUUUGUUUUGUUUUGUUUUUUAUAAAUCCCUUGGCCCAACCUACAUGAUUCUAAUACAGUAGGUCUAGGGUGAGACCCAGAAGUCUGUCUUAUGCUUUUUUUUUUAAUGUGCUCUUGGAGUCAUUGUAAAGUAUGGUCAGGGUUCAGGAACCGCAAGUCCUAAGUAUUAGUGUUUUCCAGGCCAUUUCCCCCCCUUGGAAGUACUCAGUUUAUUGUCAGAAAGGGAAAGUGCCUACCCAUCAGUUACUAGAGCAGUGGUGCUUGGCUCAGGCCUGUGGGCAGAGUUGUAGUAGACAUGCUCUUUUGGGCUCAUCUCAUGUCUAUGAGGAGCUUUGCCAACAGUAAGGUUCAAAUCUACUUGUGCCCUUGGUUUCCUCCUCUUUUCCCCUUCUCUAGUUCUGUAUAGCUGAGGUAGAGACAGUGACCUUCAGAAAUGGCUCAGAGACUGGCUUUAACCAGUGCUUCGGAAAUGAGAAUUAAAAAGGAUAAAACUUUUUCUUUGAAGUGGUAAAUAAAACACUUGGCCUACCACCUAAACAAGCUGACCCUGAUUUACCAGGCCUCUUGGUAGAUGUGUAGAAGGGGGUAAAGAGAGAUAUUUUCAAAAGAAAACUUGAUUUUUAUUUUUUUUUACAAGUAAUGCAUGUGAACUAUACAAAUUCUUUAAUUCAAAAAAAGAAAAAUGAUUUAUAAAUUUACCACUUGUAGAAAAUCAUAAACAUAUUGGUGAUGUCAGUGCAUAUACAAGUAAAUACAUGCACCUAUCAAUUUUACAAAAAAUGGGAUGAUGUGCUGGCCAAUGUUGCACAGAGAUUGAGCCCAUGAGCCAGGAGGUCACAGUUCAAUUCCCAGUCAGGGCACAUGCCCAGGUUGUGGGAGGGGGCGUGCAAGAGGCAGCUGAUCGAUGAUUCUCUCUCUCAUUGAUGUUUCUAUCUCUCCCUCUCUCUGAAAUCAAUAAAGCAUAUUUAAAUUUAAUAAAGGAAUGAUAUUGUACAGUAACCACCUUUUUCCCUGAUGUGUUUAUCAUGAAUAUCAUGCCAUUUAAUUCCAUGGAGGACUCAGAUUCAACGUGUAUCCAAGCACCUUUUAAAAAAAAUCCUCUUUAUUUUUAAGUCCUCACUUGAGGACAUUUUUUCCAUUGCUUUUCAGAUGGGGAGGGAGAGAACAGAGAGAGAGAGAGAGAGACACACACACACACACACACACACACACACACACAUCAACUGGUUGCCUCUUGCACUUGCCCCAACCAGGAGUGGGGAAGCAAAACUGCAAUCCAGGUAUGUGCCUUUAACUGUGUCCUAGACCAGGAAUCAAACCUGCAACCCUUUGGUACGUGGGCCAGUGUUCUAACCACUGAACAAAACCAGUGAAGUCUCUAAGCACCUUUUAAUAGUUCCAUUGUGUGCACAUACCUGUUUUUUUUUUCAACGGAGGCGUGGUUAUUUAGGUUGUUUGCAGUUUUUCCUGUUACAAAAUACAUUGUCUAGAUUAGAACAUUGUUGUAGUUAAAUCUUUGUGUAUGUCUGUGGCUAUUUUUGUGAGCCACAGUCCUAGAAGUGGAAUUUCAAGGUCAUGUAUGUGGCUAGGAUCCCCACCAGAAACAUGGUACCAUUUUAGUCCUCUCCCAACAGGGCGUGAGCAGCCUGUUUGCCCACAACCUACCAGCAUUGGAAGUUGUCAUUUUAAACAAAUUGUCCUUUGUGCUGUUGAAAGUUUUGGAAAAUGUGAUUGUGUGGUGAAUCAGUUCAUCUUCUCUAGAACAUAGCCACUAUCUCUACAAGGCAGGGAUAGUCUGGUCCCUUGGUAACAGGCUUUGUGCUGGGACCCUCCCCCUGUGGAACUUAGUUGAAUGGAGUUGACAGACCUUAACAUUAGUAUCAAAAGUGCAGUGAGUGCUAGAAUGGAAAAGCAUCAUGCAUUGAAAGCAUAAAAUGCCUUGGUUAGAGUGGAGUAAUGGUGGAGUAUUCAGAGACGUUCUCUCUGAGGAAGUCAUUAAAGCUGAGACUAAGGAUGAGCUAAAGAGCAGGGCAGGACGUACCUUCCCAGCCAAGGGAGUAGUAGCCCAUCAUGCAAAAAUUGGGAAAGCACUUUUACUUUAUUUUAAAUCUAAGGCUUGUGCUAAUAAAGGAUGACUUAAGUGUCUGAGCUGUUAGGAGUAAAAUGGUCAUAGCUACAGUAUCAGUAAUAGGGAAAAACGGGAGCUAGCCAUUUCCAUUAGUAAGGAAAUGGCUAUAUGUAUACAUUUAUCAAAGGGAGAACCAGAGUGUGGUAAAUCUGUAUACAUAGGUAUGAAAGGCGGCUCAUAAUUUAUUGAAUGGAGGGACUCAAGAUCCAGAACUGCUGUUACCAGAACUGCUGUUAUGCAUUUAGUGUGAUACUGAUUGUGUUUAGGUAAACAAAAAAGCCAUGUGUGUGUGAGCGCAGUUUCUAUCCUGACUGUUAUAUCAAACUUUAAAGUUUUUUCUUGGUAGUGGUAGACGACAAACUUUUAAGAAAUUGUGCUGAAGUUUCUUCCUGGUCUUGAGUCCUUCUCUUCACUUGGACCAGGGAUAUAUUUAGGUAGAACUAAAACUAAAACUGGAGACUUUAAUCCUCAUUAUAUGAUCAGGGUCCACUGAACUCAGUUUUUAUUUUUGAGCUUUAUUUCCAAGCUCUGUAAGGAUUUACACUGCAUGACCUUUAUUUCUUUUUUAGAUGUCUUACAAAGAAAAGAGAAAAUAUACUUAUUUUUAAAAUAGAAUAAAAUUUAUUCUAUCUUACAGUGAUUAUGUAGGUCCAUGGACCUUUUUAUGAAUCUAUACAGUAUGAAAUUUUAAUUCUUCUAGUUUUUAAACAUUUUUGCUGUUUGUCAUCCUACAUAUCAUUUCAGUACUAUUCAUCAUAUAUUCCCAAAUAUGAUAAGCAAGACUAAAAUAAUAAGAAAAUGGACGAAUAAUGAAACCUCUAGGUAGAUGAUACAGUAGUAAAGUAAUUGUCAUUAUUACAUCAUCCUUUAAUGUUCUUAUUGCAUUGCCUAAUGUAUUGCAUUGUCUUUUAAGAAGAUACAAAAGAAGACUAGAGAUGCCAUCUUUUUACUCUACUUUUAGCAUUCAUUGAACCCAGAUUUUAUUGCUGAACCAUACACUAUGGGAUUGAUGUUAACAGUAAUUCCCACUUCAUGAAGGUCUUUGAUCCAUCUUGAGUUAAUUUUUGUAUAUGGUGUAAGGUAAGGGUCCAACUUCAUUUUUUUGCGUGUGAAUAGUUUUUCCAGCACCAUUUGUUGAACAUACCUAACUUUAAAAUACAGGAUUAUUUUUCUUUUUAAUUUAAAACCAAUUUAACAAAUAAAUGUCAACCCAAGCGUCUGUGAAACCUAUGCCUUUUAAGGUACCUUGCUUGAAGAUUUCCGGCUUUAAGGAUUCACUCAUAAAAAGGCAGGCCUUCUUUCUCCUGAGGGUUUAAAUUACAGGAAUAAAAGUGUGUUUAGCUUAAUAAACUUAAUACUAUGCAAAUAGUUUGAUCAGGCAGAGAGCGACAUGAAACUAGAUUGGAAGAACAUUAGAAGGUAGAGAAGGAAGUAUAAAUAGUAUCUGGGGUAAACUUAUUUGUACAGGAUUAUAUUCUUGAUUGCAUUUUUUUAAAACUUUCAGUUUUAUUUCUUUUAAUUACACCUUAAAAUAAUGAUUCAGUAUAGGUGUAGGAUGUACUUGAUAAAAUGUAAGAAAAUCCUGGAUGGCCCCAUACACCUUGCCCACUCAACAAUUUCAGCCACAGGUUCCUGUCAGAUAGUUCAGAUCUUGGAAAUGGGGUUUUACAAUUGUAUGACUACAGAGUCCCAAUAAUAUAAGGAAAAACACAGCUUGCUUGCCAUGGUUUGGGGGCACUUUGUUGUUACCAAGCUUAUCUAAUUUUUUCUAUUAAUCAUGGCAGUGCAAUAUAGAAUCAUGUUAUCAGCGUGCGCAGAAUUGAUCUCUGUCACUCUUUAGGCUCAAGCCCUGGCUGGAGGACUGUAAAUGAACCUGGUUUCAGAUAUAGAGUUUCAGCCUUUGUUCAGGAGACUUUAUUAGUUUUUUAUUUUUACCAGCAGCAGCAAGUAUGAGAUGCUUGGCAGUUUCAUAAUAGUUCCACUGCAUCCUUUUGGGAAAAAGUGGUUUCCAAGGACUUCAUGUCCAGAUAAGAAACAUUAGGUGGAGAGACUUAUAUUUGAACUUGCCAAGUCCCACACAAGUCUGCCUGUGUUUUGACUUUUUCCAAAAUGUGACUUGACAGUCCUUGAGGAGGGCUUUAAAGUCACUCUGCCUGAGCAGCCAGGGCAUCUCACUAUGCCAUGAUUAGGCUGAUUUCAUACCCAAAAGUCCAUUAUAUGUACAUUGUUUAUGGUGGAUUUAUGAGGUGCAGUCUGACCCAAGUUUGAUAGAACACUUUUUUUUAACCUUUUAAAUUCACUGACACAUGGUAGCGUGUGGCCUUGUUCUCACUGGUUUGAUGCUCAGUCCAUAAAGCCAAGGUUCAGUGUUUUUAAGGUUUAUCACAGCUGGGAUGUUGAUGGUUUUAAUAAGAGUUAACUACUAAACAAUUAUUAUUC